UUAUUUUGUUAUAAUAAAAGACGUUCAUGACUACAAUGUUUGUAAAAAGGUCCGAAGACCACGGUGCACAGGUGUAUGUAUUGGAUAAGUGCUUGCGCACAUCUCUAAUGAUCCUUCCGCAGGUUCACCUACGGAAA
rnacentral:misc_RNA from 1 species